rnacentral:rRNA from 1 species
AGUGAACGCUGGCGGCGUGCUUAACACAUGCAAGUCGAACGAGAACGGAUUAUAGCUUGCUAUAAUUGUCAGCUAAGUGGCGCACGGGUGAGUAAUGUAUAGGUAAUAUGCCUCUUACUAAGGGAUAACAAAUGGAAACGUUUGCUAAUACCUUAUACUCCUUAUUAACAGAAGUUAAUAAGGGAAAGAUUUAUUGGUAAGAGAUUAGCCUGUAUUGUAUCAGUAGUUGGUGGGGUAAUGGCUUACCAAGACUAUGACACAUAACUGGUUUGGGAGGAGGAUCAGUCAGACUGGAAAUGAGACACGGUCUAGACACGGACGGGAGGGAGCAGUGUGGAAUAUUGCACGAUGGACGAAAUUCUGAUGCAGCAACGCCGCGUGGAGGAUGACACAUUUCGGUGCGUAAACUCCUUUUAUAUGAGAAGAUAAUGACGGUAUUAUAUGAAUAAGCACCGGCUAACUCCGUGCCAGCCGCCGCAGUAACAC